CUCGAAGGAUCGUCUUCAUUUCAGGGAUGCCAGAGCCUAGGAGGGUUAAGAGAGGACUGUAUGCAGGCUCCACCUGGAGCCUGGGGAGAGAUGAGGUGGCAGAAGAGGGCGCUGAAGAGGAUGAGGACCAGCGGGAAGGUGACCCAGACCAGUUCUAGGUGGAAACCCCUGGAAGUCUCCAUUGUGUGGGAAAAGCUGAGAGCAGUGGUCCAAGGAGAACGUACCCUGAAGGCUUUU